GUGGAUUAGAUACCCUGGUAGUCCUGGCUGUAAACGAUGUCGACUAGAUCGUGGCGGCUCUGACGCUGUCACGGUCGAAGCAAAAGUGCUAAGUCGACCGCCUGGGAAGUACGGUCGCAAGGCUAAAACUCAAAGGAAUUGACGGGGGCUCACACAAGCGGUGGAGCAUGUGGUUCAAUUCGAAGCAACGCGCAGAACCUUACCUGGGCUUGACAUGCCAGGAUUAUCCCCAUGAAAGUGUGGUAGGCCCUUCGGGGUACAACUGGUACAGGUGCUGCAUGGCUGUCGUCAACU
rnacentral:rRNA from 1 species